UGGAAGUAAAAAAUCGUAACAAGGUCUCCGUUGGUGAACCAGCGGAGGGAUCAUUACUGAGUUUACGCUCUACAACCCUUUGUGAACAUACCUACAACUGUUGCUUCGGCGGGUAGGGUCCCCGUGACCCUCCCGGCCUCCCGCCCCCCCGGGCGGGUCGGCGCCCGCCGGAGGAUAACCAAACUCUGAUUUAACGACGUUUCUUCUGAGUGGUACAAGCAAAUAAUCAAAACUUUUAACAACGGAUCUCUUGGUUCUGGCAUCGAUGAAGAACGCAGCGAAAUGCGAUAAGUAAUGUGAAUUGCAGAAUUCAGUGAAUCAUCGAAUCUUUGAACGCACAUUGCGCCCGCCAGCAUUCUGGCGGGCAUGCCUGUUCGAGCGUCAUUUCAACCCUCAAGCUCUGCUUGGUGUUGGGGCCCUACAGCUGAUGUAGGCCCUCAAAGGUAGUGGCGGACCCUCCCGGAGCCUCCUUUGCGUAGUAACUUUACGUCUCGCACUGGGAUCCGGAGGGACUCUUGCCGUAAAACCCCCCAAUUUUCCAAAGGUGACCUCGGAUCAGGUAGGAAUACCCGCUGAACUUAAGCAUAUCAAUAGGCCGGAGG
rnacentral:rRNA from 1 species